AACACAAUUCAUCCAUUCCAGUAGCAAUAUUAGAGAAGUCAACAAAACUAAGAAAGACGCCACAUAAUCUUUUCUGUCUGGGAGCUGCAGCUGACGCUUUUCUGCUUCAGGUUUCAUGGAAGAAAUAAAUUGAAACUGGAAUGAUUGAAAGACAGAAAACUCACCUCCCAAGAUUUUAAUAGUUUGAGCCUGCCCAGCCUCUAUUUGAAAAGAAGAGAGACUUCUGAAGAGCCUUUGAAAUAGAUGGCAAAAUUCCAUCUUAAAUAUUUUUCUUAACAAAGAAUCAAUUGCAGAAGAUGGAGAAUGCAAGAGCUGAGAAAACAUGUGUCCAAAUGCUGUGAGGCAUGGAAAAGGAGGAGCAAACUUAACAGAGUUCCCACAAAACAUAACCUUUGCGAGGGAAGGAAGGAAGGAAAGUAAAUCCAGCUUGUGGUGCUUUUAGAAGAACUGAUACAGGCUUAGAAAAACUUGGCUCAACUUUUAAAAUUAACCACUAUCUUGGGGAAUGGCAGCUGGUCAAAGACUGCAUAUGGAAAAGCCCUAAAAAGUAUUUAAUUUUGGCUGAAGAGUGUACGUAAUGAAUAAUCACCCAAUGAAUGAAUAGUCACCCAAAUCCCUACCUUUGGAAGGAAAGUAAAAAAAUAGAAGCAUGUGCAAGUAUAAUCCAAAAUGCAUAAAUGUAUAUAGGCUUCUGUUGACUCAGGUCACGGUUUCAUCUCUAGCUAAGUAAAAAGGACUACACCUGAUCGGAGGCUUAUUAGUCUGAGAGAUAUGAAGCAUGAGAUUUCCUAGAAUGAUACCUUUUAAAAUAGAGAAUCAGUUAUGGGGCACAGAAUGUGGAGGUUACGUCCUGCUUGUUCCCAUGAAGGGGAUCUCUAAAUGUUCCACUCCUAAUCCUAAUGUUUCCUUUUACAACUUCUUCAUGGCGUGAAACCGCCCCCCCUUUUUUUUUUAGUUUUUUAACUUUUUAAAUUGUCAAAUGGGUUUUAGUUUUCAAUGUUUUAAAUUUUGGGGCCACAGUUAUUUAAUUCUUUUAAUAAUUUUAAAUUUUGUAUUGAUAUGUGUUUUAGUUCUGGCUAUGCACCACCCUGAGUCCACUUGGAGAAGGGCGGGAUAUAAAUUGAAUAAAAUAAGUAAAAUAAAUAAAUAGGAGUAUCAGAUCCAACAAGUGUUACCAUCAGCCACUUGUCUUCAAAGAAAUCUUUCUCAGACUUGGUUCACUUAGGAAGAGGUAAGUAGUAAUUCUCCUUUUGGUAACUGUUUGAGCUGAAAGAUUUGUGCUAAAAGAAUCAUUUUGGUCUAGUGGUUAAGGCACUAGGCUAGAAAGUGGCAGACCGUGAGUUCAAGACCCAUCGUAGCCAUGAAAGCCAGCUGGAUGACUUUGGGCCAGUCAUUCUCAGCCCAGCCCAUCUCACUGUUGCUUUUGUUGUUGUUGUUGUUUUGGGGACAAUAGGAGGAGGAAGGCAUGCUGGAUAUGUUCACCAUCUUGAGUUAUUUAUAAAAAUAAUAAAGAUGGGAUACAAAUAAAUAAAUAGGGUUUUCCCCUCCCAGGUGUAUGUUGUUGAUUCAUUAAGAAUUUGAAUCUUUAUUAUGUAUACCAAGUCAGAGAACUAGAAGGAAAUGGAAAAGUACAGAGAUAGGGAAAAAGAGAAGACAGAAAGAUUAGUUCUGAAGAUCUCAGCUGCUAGUCUCCCUGACUAGGAAAUUUCACAUGCACAGAUGCACACCUCAGAUCAUAACAUUAAAUUGAAUCUACAUUGCAUCUAGCCCAAUUGGUCCUAGUUUGGUAUACAAUUCCUUAAUCAUAACUUGGAUAUUUAUGUUCUGGAGCUCUAACCAAGCCCAAAAACAUGGGAAUGAGUGCCAAUGGGGCAAACACAAAAGGUAAGACAAAAUGGAGCAAGUCCUUCCUCUUUUUAAAAGCCCACUGAAAGGGGAAAUAAGCAAUUGCUUUUUUGAAUGUCUCUGCCAGUGUCACUUGAUUAACAGGUAAGGUUUUCCUUUAAUUUCCUUUUGUGUCUGAACCUCUUGGAAUAGAAUAGAAUUUAUUAUGAGUACAGAUGCUUACAACUUAACCUGGAGCAAGUUUCAUUAAAAAAAAACAACCCAUACAGACCAAGUGUUUUAAUUCUGAGCUGUUAUUAUUCUCCCCAGUGCAGGAUGUAUCUAGUGACUCCAUCACCCUUAUACAAUGAUGAAGUCACUGGAAAUAUGUCAUAUAGCACACUAACUUCUCCACAUUGCUAAGAUACUGCAGUGGAUGCUGGGUGAUAUAAUUGUGCUCUCCCACCCUGUCUCACACUCCUAGACUCUGACUCUGUAGAGUGGGAUACAGCUGUGGCACACUCCUGGGUCAUAUGGAUUUCAGUAACUUGAGAGAAGAACUAAAUAACAUACGUUUUGGUAACAAUUUGACUGCAUUUGAAAUAGGCUGAAUCCAUGUAAAUUGCUAUUGCUUAACAUGCAUUGUCACUUCAGAAUCAACCAAGAUAGCAGCCCUUAUCAUUAUUUCAGAUCAAAGGCAGUUCUUUUUAAAUCAAAACCUUUCUUUUUCUGCUUUGUUUUAAAUUGGAGUGUUAUGCUGAAAAUAACGCUCCAGUCUAAGAUUUUCUUUUAAAAAAAUGGAUUUGAUUUUCAGCAAACAUAUUCGUCUCAGGAAAAGACCAAUAAGGGAAGAACAAAAUCUUUGGAUUAUCGCUAGAAGUAUUUGCUCUUCUCCAACAAUCCAAAUAGCCUGCUCAGCAGGAGACAGAGACAUGAAACAAAAUUCUCAGUGGCCUUGGUACAGUGUUUGUACUGUUGUUGCAAAACAAUGAAGCUAGGCACAAGUCCUGCUGAAAGAGCCAGAGGGAUCACAUUUUGUCCCUGUAUAUUAUCUGUUGGAAUUUACACAAAAAGAAAGCUCAUAUACCAAAACUGCAAAUAUUAUCUAUGUGGAAAAGAACUGGAUGUGUUUGAUUGCCAGUGAUUUAGUUUGUAUUUACACCAAAUUAUAUUUGACAUUGUAUUCAUUUGCAAAAGAAACUGAAUUAAUUUGUAACUUAAGAUAGCAACUUGAAAACAAUUUGCAACCAAUGUUCCCUUCAUAAGAUAAUGUACGACAAUAGUGCCGAGGGGCAGGCCAAGUAGCUUGAAAGAAAACUAGGAACAGGAAAUAAAAACAAACAUUAUAAUUGUGUACUUUUUUCUUAUUAAAAACACAGACAUUUACCUUCUUUGUGAAUCCAUAAAAUGGUGCUUGCAUUAUCUGAUAAUAUGUGAACUACUGCACUGCGAUGUUGCUUCUUCCCGUGAAGGUCAAAAGGCAAACAUUUAUGCAGCAAUUUCACCUCAAUUCCUUAACUCCCAUUUCCAAAGGCCUGACACUUGUGGGAAGAAGACAUAAGAUACAGUUGAUCCUUCCCACAUAGCUAAGCUUUCUUACAUCAUUCCAUCUGAGGUAGGAAAGAGUAGUAUUUCUACUGGGGAACUUACUCUAAAUAGCAGACCUAACUAUUCCGAAGCUUUCUAGAUGCCCAGAAAGAUGAUUCCAUUCCCAGUCAUAUCUUCUUCUGUGUCAAGAAAUAGCUGCUCUGAACAGAAUGAUCCUGAAAUUCAUGAAAGCCACAGUCAUGAACCUAUUAUUGAAGUUAUGCCCCAAGACUUAAUACAUUAUAUGAUACAAUGAAUUUCUUUCUUUCUUUCUUUCUUUCUUUUUCUUU